rfam:Oreochromis niloticus linkage group LG13, whole genome shotgun sequence.
GCUCCAGUGGCGCAAUUGGUCAGUGUACAGUACUUAUAAGACAGUACUUUGUAGAGCAAUGCUGAGUUUGUGAGUUCAAGCCUCACCUGGAGCA